GAUGAACGCUGGCGGCGUGCCUAAUACAUGCAAGUCGAGCGAACAGACGAGGAGCUUGCUCCUCUGACGUUAGCGGCGGACGUGUGAGUAGCACGUGGAUAACCUACCUAUAAGACUGGGAUAACUUCGGGAAACCGGAGCUAAUACCGGAUAAUUUAUUGAACCGCAUUGUUCAAUAGUGAAAGACGGUUUUGCUGUCACUUAUAGAUGGAUCCUCGCCGCAUUAGCUAGUUGGUAAGGUAACGGCUUACCAAGGCAACGAUGCGUAGCCGACCUGAGAGGGUGACCGGCCACACUGGAACUGAGACACGGUCCAGACUCCUACGGGAGGCAGCAGUAGGGAAUCUUCCGCAAUGGGCGAAAGCCUGACGGAGCAACGCCGCGUGAGUGAUGAAGGUCUUCGGAUCUUAAAACUCUGUUAUUAGGGAAGAACAAAUGUGUAAGUAACUAUGCACGUCUUGACGGUACCUAAUCAGAAAGCCACGGCUAACUACGUG
rnacentral:rRNA from 1 species